rnacentral:rRNA from 1 species
AUGGAGGACUUUGUUUCUUGGCAUUUACAUAGGAGUGGAUCAUUUAUGGUGAACUCGGCCUAUCAUGAAGAAUGGGAGCACCAACCUGGACGAAAGUUGAGGAUGACUAACUCAAUACAUGCCUCAAGUACUAGUCCAGUUUGGAGGACCGUUUGGAAAUUGAAUGUGCCAUCAAAAGUAAAAAUCCACGUGUGGAAAACUUUGCUUGGAACAAUCCCAUGUCAAGGAGUUCUUGCAAAUAGACACAUUAUAACUAGUUCUCAAUGCCCAUUGUGUAACUCAGAUUGUGAGAGCAUUCGACAUGCUCUCUUCCUAUGCCCGCGUGUUCAACAAAUUUGGCGCCUGCUUGGUUUGGCAUCAGUGGUUAACGAGGAUUGCAUGAUGAAAAGGGAGGGUUGCUCAGUUAUGGCUGAUCUGCUUAUGUCCAAGAACCCAACGAAGGCGUUGGUCAGUGAUGUCCAGUGCAAUGACCUUGUUGUCACGGCGGUGUGGUAUUUAUGCAAAUUCAAAGAAGGGAUACAGAGACAUGGCUAGGAGAAGCCAUUGGAGGGCAUGCUUAAACUGAAUUUUGAUGUUGGUUUUGAUAGUGACAGCGGCACCGGGGCGAUAGGUGCGAUUCUUCGGGACUAUACGGGCUUCUUUGUGGUAGCAUCAUGCAGCAACAUCCCAUUCAUACAAGAUGCAACAACGACAGGAGUACGGGGAUUACGAGCUGGACUCCUCCUUGCCAAUGACAUGGGAUGUAACAAAAUUUGCGAAGAAGGUGAUUGCAUGGAAGACAUUGAGAUCAUGCAAAACGGAGGAAACCACUUGGUCCGGCAGCGGCAAUUUAUGAAGAAUGCUCGUUUUUAG